AAAUCAUUCUAAUAUGCUGAUUUGGUAAAGAAAUGAAAUUGCCUUCAGGUCUGAAGCAGAAUUCACUCAAAAUACUUCAUCAUCACAUUAUUAGUGCAAACAGAUCAGGGUGAUCUCAAAAGUGUGGAUGGUAUCGCCUACAUUGAAACCAAAAAAACGUAUGUAUGCAUAUGUUUUUGUUACAGGUUAUAUGGCUCCCCGCAAUGCUAGGUGGGCGGAGCAGCUUGCCUCAGGGGCUGGUUCAGGGCAAGGGGGCAGAGACGAUUCUAAGGGUGGGCCUGACAGGUUACAGAACAGCCAGGUGCAGCAGCAGAUUAUUCUAGCCUUCCAGCAACUCAGCGAGGACAUGCAGAGCAUCAUGCAACGACUAGAGGUGGUUGAAUACCUUGCAACUGCAAAUGCUCAAAGUUUACAGCGGAGAUCCCAUUUACACUUGACAGCUGCAGAAACUGAGGAGAAAUGGUGGCCAUUUGACAUCUCUGGACGUACAUUAUUACUGUUGUUAGUGUGGCCUUUUGUGACUCAGGCACUGAUGUUUCUACUGAGAUGGAGGAAGAGAAAGAUUAAUGUGUGCUUAUGAAUUUACUGUAUUGAGUUCAAAUGAAAGUAGAAGUCACAAUGAUAACUAAUUAAUUGUGACCUAGCAUUCAAUGCUUCAAAUGUAGCACUUUGUUAGCAUGAGGUGAAGAGAGGAAAUGUUAUAAUCUCAUAUCUCUGAAAUCUGAGGAAGAUUAAAUGUAUGAACAAGAUGAAUGCAGUUCUUAGAGACAUCCUGGAGUUAAUUAUUUAAUUGAAUGUCCAUGAUGUGUUCCAUUGUAAUUCUGCUUAAAUGUAGCCAUGUGCAGAGACUUUGUCAAUAAUAUAUAAUAUACAUAUUAUCGUAUUUUGAAAAUAAGUUAUGUUUAUUAGUAUCUCUGUGCUGAUGGUUGAAAUUGACCUUGUAAAUGCCAUCUGCACCACAACAAAGGAUUACAGUCCUGCUGAUCUUACUUGUAGGAUGUUGCAGGGUGCCAGGCUUUUUUUUGUAGAACUGACAAAAAAAAUGUAUGCAAUCAAAAAAAGCCUUAAAUAACUACAGGGGCCUUCACGUGGGGUACAUGCUCUGAUAUGAGAAAAAAGAACCAGCAACAGCAUAUUCUGACUAUCAUGUUCUAUAAUGAAAGAAUACACAUAUAUAAACAAAACAAAUGGAUUUUAUGUAAUGGUCAUCCACUUGUUACUUUUAUUAAACAUGCUAUUU